UGGCGGACAGGUGAGUAACGCGUGGGUAACCUGCCCCAUACAGGGGGAUAACAGCCGGAAACGGCUGCUAAUACCGCAUAUACAUGCGGGGGCGCAUGCCCUUGCAUGGAAAGCUUUGGCGGUAUGGGAUGGGCCCGCGUCUGAUUAGGCAGUUGGCGGGGUAACGGCCCACCAAACCAACGAUCAGUAGCCGGCCUGAGAGGGCGACCGGCCACAUUGGGACUGAGACACGGCCCAAACUCCUACGGAAGGCAGCAG
rnacentral:rRNA from 1 species